rnacentral:rRNA from 1 species
UACGGAGGGUGCGAGCGUUGUCCGGAAUCACUGGGCGUAAAGGGCGCGUAGGUGGCCGAGCAAGGUCGCGGUGAAAGCCCGGGGCUCAACCCCCGGGUCGGCCGUGGCAACUACUCGGCUCGAGCACUGUAGGGGAGACUGGAAUUCCUGGUGUAGCGGUGAAAUGCGCAGAUAUCAGGAGGAACACCGGUGGCGAAGGCGGGGUCUCUGGGGCCGAUACUGACGCUGAGGAGCGAAAAGCGUGGGGGAGCGAACAGG